CCUACGGGUGGCAGCAGUGAGGAAUAUUGGGCAAUGGGCGCGAGCCUGAACCAGCCAAGUCGCGUGAGGGAAGACGGUCCUCUGGAUUUUAAACCUCUUUUGACGGGGAGCAAAAGACGCCACGCGUGGCGUUCCGAGAGUACCCGAAGAUUAAGCAUCGGCUAACUCCGUGCCAGCAGCCGCGGCAAUACGGAGGAUGCGAGCGUUAUCCGGAUUUAUUGGGUUUAAAGGGUGCGCAGGCGGAAGAUCAAGUCAGCGGUAAAAUUGAGAGGCUGAACCUCUUCGAGCCGUUGAAACUGGUUUACUUGAGUGAGUGAGAGGUAUGCGGAAUGCGUGGUGUAGCGGUGAAAUGCGUAGAUAUCACGAAGAACACCGAUUGCGAAGGCAGUAUACCGGCGCUCAACUGACGCUGAUGCACGAAAGUGUGGGUAGCGAACAGGAUUAGAUACCCCGGUAGUC
rnacentral:rRNA from 1 species